rnacentral:rRNA from 1 species
AACGAACGCUGGCGGCAUGCCUAACACAUGCAAGUCGAACGAGACCUUCGGGUCUAGUGGCGCACGGGUGCGUAACGCGUGGGAACCUGCCCUUAGGUUCGGAAUAACUCCCCGAAAGGGGUGCUAAUACCGGAUAAUGUCUUCGGACCAAAGAUUUAUCGCCUUUGGAUGGGCCCGCGUUGGAUUAGCUAGUUGGUAGGGUAAAAGCCUACCAAGGCGACGAUCCAUAGCUGGUCUGAGAGGAUGAUCAGCCACACUGGGACUGAGACACGGCCCAGACUCCUAAGGGAGGAAGCAGUGGGGAAUAGUGGACAAUGGGCGAAAGCCUGAUCCAGCAAUGCCGCGUGAGUGAUGAAGGCCUUAGGGUUGUAAAGCUCUUUUACCCGGGAUGAUAAUGACAGUACCGGGAGAAUAAGCUCCGGCUAACUCCGUG